rnacentral:lncRNA from 10 species
GUUACCUCCCGCGCAUGCUCUAUGGGGUAGAGACGCUAGGCCGGCACUGCCUAGGUGGGCCGGGCGGUGCGAGGGUCGCCUUUCAGCCUUUACCUCUACCCACUGAAAUGGAGUAGGUCGGUGAGCGCCGAUCUGCUGGAGAAUCUCAUUAUCCCAUCGGCGCUCUGCCUGCUCCUGGCCUCCAAGCCUCUGAAGCCCCUCGGGUUUCAGCUGCCGGCUACCCUCGAGCCCGUGGUGCCCACGAGAGAGGCGACUUUACGUCAGCGGCCCUGGGCUGAGAUUUGAGAACGCGACCAAGUGGAGAAUGUUGGAGCCAGAUUUUAAAAUCCUUGUCUUCCUUCUGCGUGCUACUUGAUCUAAAUGAGAUACGGCAAAGUCACAGAACCUGUUUUUAUGUUUUUGCCUGAUUCAUACGGGCUUCUCCGGUGAAGAUGGGCCUGAAGUAACGCUUGGGUUGCUUCUGACGUUAUAACUCAUCCUGUAGCUGCAGCAACCGUGGUCCUUGCAACCUCAUAAAAAUGUUGCCAGCAUUGUUUCGAUAGUGCUGCUUAAUUCUUGGAAGGUUCUUCGGACUUCACACAUUCCAGCAGUAGCUCUCUCAGCUCCUGUCCUGCACAGCUUUGAAGUGCUGGUGAUGUCAUUGAACUCUUAAGUGCAAGAUGAAACAAGUCUUUCUGGGGUUCUAAGUAGCACCGCCUGAGAUGUGAUGGUGAGCUGAGCUGUACCUGAAUCCUGAGCUGCCCAGCCCAGGCAGGAAGCACACUGGCGAUCUCUUUCCAUCGGGGGGCAGCUGCCCUAGGCUGGAAGUAUUUUAGCUCUGAAUCUGCUGUUAGAGGGUCUAUCAUUCUUUGUCAUUUUUUUCUCUCAGAUACUGC